UUUGGUCCCUUUUCUCUCCUUUUUGCACCUCCUUUUCUUCCCUUUUUCACUUUUGCUUCAAAAUGGAUACCUGACAUAAAUAGCAAGGAAAUACUGCAUAAUAUCCGAUAAAAUGAGAUAAACUAAAGUGAAUGAUAAUAUAAUCUAAUUGAAUUAAGUCUUAAAAUGUGAUAUAAUUUCGUGUUAUCAGGAAACAACAAAAGCGCGGUGGCAACUCUAGUUUUAUUGACGUUAAGCUUACCCGUAGCUUGAUGGUCAUGAAUUUACCGCUACACAGCUCCC
rnacentral:lncRNA from 1 species